rnacentral:lncRNA from 1 species
GAAAAGUGAAGUCAGAUCAGCAGAGGACAUUCAUUAAUUAUUGAGUUAAAUACACCCCUCUAACCGCAGGAAAUCUUUUAUCUGCAACAGCGGAUGCUGGAAGAUUAUAUAUGAGUCAAAAACGGAAAGAAGGGGUCGAACGCGAGAAGUUGAAGGAAGAAGGUAGCAGCCAAAAAGUCGGGGACAGAGUAGCGCGAAAAAGUCAGGAAGAGAGUAGAACAACAAAGCUUGCCAUCAGACUUAUAGUUUCAAGAAGUGAUACCAGAUCACCGAUCUUAUUUCUUUGGUGUAUUAGUGAUUGUGGUUGUAUGAACUAAAGACUGUGCCACCACAUACUGGACUAAAGACUGUGUGUUGUAUAACACAAG